GUCGUUCUUAGUUGGUGAGAUGAUUUGUCUGGUUAAUUCCGAUAACGAACAUGACUUAAACAUGCUAAAUGGUAGACUGAUCUUCUGUGCUCGUUUAGGGCGCUGACACUAUUGCUUUUUUGUGGAGUAGUGUAGUUAUGAUCUAGCGGGUGCGUUGCCAGUUUUACUACUCAGAGGGACAAGUGGAACACGUAAGUCGCACGGAAUUGAUCAACAACAGGUUU
rnacentral:ncRNA from 1 species